GGCCGAUGAUGCAUCUAAAUGCACAUAUUAUCAGAUAUGAUUGUGAUGAUAAUUGAUUGUCACUACCUCUGAGGCA